rnacentral:lncRNA from 1 species
UGACGAUAAAAGAAUUAAUGCAGAACCGAGGCGAGAUAAAAUCUCUCUCCGUAAGGCAAAAUUACUUCCGCUCUUGUGCUUGCGGAUCUAUAGUAAUUGCCCCCAAGAUACAACGGUAUAGGGUCGAUAGACGAUUCCUUAGCACUAGGAGAUCGUUAUCCGGUCGAACGGCUCGAUACUCGGGACUUGAGUAUGAACACUAACUAGUAUGAUAGGAGAUGAUGUGAAUGGAAUGAUUUGAACCACAUCCUGGAGGGCCUAUUUAUAGUAUGUAGAGGGGUGCGGUGGAAGGGUGCGUCUGUUGGGAGAAGGCCUUGACCGAACCAUCACAGCCAUUCGGUCAAGGGGUGCCAUGACCGAACCAUUGCAAUGGUUCGGCCCAAGCAGCCGCCCAGCCCUGCCACGUCAGCGGAAAGUGCGCCUACAAAGCGCCCAUUGCGACAAGUGCGACGUGCACGUGCUCGGCCUCGGCCUCGGACUCGGACUCGGAAGGUGCUUCGCACCUUCCUCGUAGGAAUCGAGUUUUAGCCUUAAAAGGCUAAGUCAAAACCUACUUGGGUGCACCAUAGGUCCACCAUAGAGGAGCACACUUGAUUGUUCCUUUAUGGUGGAGAGCACUUUAUAAAUAGCUUUACACUUCCUUAAUUUUCCAAUGUGGGAUGACACUCCACAUUUCCAUCUUCAAUGGCUAUCUUUGGGCAUUAAUUACUCAUUCAAUUCUUAAUAGAUUUGAACAAGUAAAUAUACCAAAUUAAUCUACUCAAAAUGUAGAUUCCAAAUAUACCAUUUAAUUCCAUUAAUUACAAAGUAAUUAUGGACUAAUAAAGCCAUUUAUUCCAACAAUCCCCCACAUGAAUGAUGAUUAAUGCAAAUGCAAAAAACUAAGUCCCGACGAUCCAUUAUUGCAUUAGGAUAGGUAGUUGUUAGCUUUGAACCUUCCUUAGUGUAAUGCCAUCGGAUUUACUCGUUGCUCGGUGAACAGAUGUCUUGAACCGGUCAACUUUUGUGUAAACAGUCAACAACAACACACAAUAAUAGAUCUAAUAUUUUCGUUCUACGUUGUGUCCAUUUCGGCCUUGGACCAUUUCUUGGAUUCAAAGUGUUAUAUAAUUUGAAGCGGCCCCACUUCUUCACUUUAUAGGUGAUCUCCUAUAAAGAGUAUCCUGCCAUACUCCACCUAAUAAGGCUAUAGGAAUCAUUAAAAGCUUUUGACGCUUACCCUUUACCACAGCUGCAGGCUUUGCACUUGAGCAGCUAUGAGAAUGGAUUUUGAAAGUUUCAAGUGCUCAACUUGAACUUCCAUAAUUUUAGUUGUCUCAUUGAACCAUGUUCUUGGGAUCUCCAGUCAUCAUGGUUGAGUUACACUAUGAAAAGUUCUUAACGUGUGGAUUUUAAUCCCAUUCCCCUUACUGCGUUAUAUAAUUGAUCACGAUUAAUACAUUUAGUAAACGGAUCAGCAAUAUUGUCUUUUGACUUUACAUAGUCAAUGCACAUUAUUCCUGUAGUGAUCAAUUGUCUAACGGUAUUAUGUCUUCACGAAUUGUCGAGAUUUACCGUUAUACAAACUAUUAUUUGCUCUCCCUAUGGCACAAUGUAUCAUAACCGGAGGCAAAGGUUUUUCCCAACAGGGAAUAUCUUCUAAGAAGUUUCUUAACCAUUCGGCUUCUUCGCCGGCUUUGUCUAAAGCAAUAAAUUCCGAUUCCAUUGUAGAUCGGGCUAUACAUGUUUGCUUAGAAGAUUUCCAUGAUAUUGCUCCUCCACCAAUGGUAAAUACAAACCCACUUGUGGAUUUAGAGUCUUUAGUGUCGGAUAUCCAAUUUGCAUCACAAUAUCCUUCCAAAACUGCGGGAUAUCUCGAAUAGUGUAUACUAUGAGAUAUUGUGUGUUUUAAGUAUCUCAACACUCUUAUCAAUGCGGUCCAAUGAUCCUUUCCGGGAUUACUUGUAAACCGACUCAAUUUGCUAAUAGAAUAUGCUAUGUCUGGCCUUGUACAAUUUGACAAGUACAUUAGGCUUCCAAUAAUUCUAGCAUAGUUUGAUUGUGAUACGGGUUCUCCUCGAUUUUUGGCUAAGUGUAUACUUAAAUCAACAGGUGUUUUAGCCGGAGGUAGACCGAAAGCGUUGAAUUUCUUAAGCACCAUUCUCAACAUAGUGAGAUUGUGAUAAGACUAUUCCUUCGGGUGUUCUAAGAAUCUUAAUUCCUAGAAUCACAUCAGCUAAACCCAUAUCCUUCAUGUCAAAGUUCUUCUUUAACAUUUCCUUAGUUUCUACGAUGAUUUUAUUAUUGCUACCCAAAAUUAGCAUAUCAUCAACGUAGAGACAGACAAUGACAAAAUUGUCGGAAGUUCCUUUGAUGUACACACAUUUAUCACAUUCAUUGAUUUUGAAUCCAUUUGACAUCAUUGCUUGGUCAAAUUUCUCAUGCCAUUGUUUGGGAGCUUGUUUAAGUCCAUAUAAAGACUUGACAAGUUUACAAACUUUUUUUUUGGCCGGGAAUCACAAACCCUUCGGGUUGUUCCAUAUAUAUCUCAUCUUCUAAAUCUCCAUUUAGAAAUGCCGUUUUUACAUCCAUUUGGUGUAUCUCAAGAUUAUAUAAUGCGGCUAUAGCAAGUAGCAUUCUAAUGGAUGUAAUUCUAGUGACUGGAGAGUAUGUAUCAAAGUAAUCAUACCCUUCCUUUUGUUUUAGCCUUUAACUACCAAACGCUUUUACUUAUCAAUAGAUCCAUCGGCUUUAUAUUUCUUCUUAAGAAUCCACUUGCAACCCAAAGGUUUAUUUCCCGGAGGAAGAUCAACAAUAUGCCAAGUGUGAUUGGAUAAGAUUGACUCGAUUUCACUAUUGAUAGCUUCACGCCAUAGAUCGGCAUCAGGACCAGACAAUGCUUCCUUGAUUGUCUUUGGUUCGUCUUCUAAAGUAUAAACUACGAAAUCCGGACCAAAGGUUUUCGCAGUCUUUGUUCGCUUUCCGCAUCUUGGUUGCGGUGUUGGUUCACGUGUUGGUCCAUUAUCCUUAAGCGAAAUUUCAUCAUAAGUUCUCUUUUUCGAACUUGUAUCAUUCUUCUCUUUCUUAGGGAAUAUAGUUUCAAAAAAUAUGGCGUUUCUUGAUUCUAUAAUUAUUCCCUCAUUUAUAUCGGGUACUUCCGAUUUGUGUACCAAGAAUCGGUACGCACUACUAUUGUUUGCAUAUCCUAUGAAGAUGCAAUCAACAGUUUUUGGUCCUAUUUUUACUUGUUUGGGUUUUGGUACUUCAACUUUUGCUAAGCACCCCCACACUUUUGUAUAUUUAUAGGACGGCUUCCUUCCUUUCCAUAAUUCAUAUGGAGUUUUAUCUUGUUUCUUUUGGGGUAAUUUAUUCAAAAUUUUAUUAGCCGAAAGAAUAGCUUCCCCCCACAUGUUAUGUGAUAGGCCUGAGCUUAUCAACAUAGCAUUCAUCAUUUCUUUCAAUGUUCUAUUCUUUCGUUCUGCAACACCAUUUGAUUGUGGAGAAUAAGGUGCAGUCGUUUGAUGAAUAAUGCCAUUUUCACGACAAAAUUCCUCAAAAGGUGCAACAUACUCGCCACCUCGAUCACUUCGAAUCAUUUUGAUCUUGGUGUUAAGUUGAUUCUCAACUUCAUUUUUGUAUGUUUUGAAAGCUUCGAAUGCUUCGUCUUUGCUUCUCAAAAGAUACACAUAGCAAAAUCUUGUGCAAUCGUCUAUAAAUGUUAUAAAAUAAUUCUUUCCACCUCUUGUUUGCACAAGUUUUAAAUCACAUAGAUCGGUGUGAAUCAAUUCAAGAGGUUUCGUUGAUCGUUCCACUGAAUGGAAAGGAGAUUUUGCCAUUUUAGCUUCAACACAAAUUUCACAUUUUUUGUGUUGGUCGAAAGUCAAUUUUGGCAAUAAAUCUAAAUUCACUAAACGACGUAGUGUGUUUAGAUUAGCAUGUCCUAAUCUAUCAUGCCAUAAAUUAGGAGACUCAACCAAGUAGGUAACUUUGUCCUUUAUUUCAUUAUUACAAAGUACAUGGAUAGCAUUAAGCUUGAAAAGGCCAUUAUCUAAGUAGCCUUUUCCUAUAUAGCGACCAUUCUUGGUCAUUACAACUUUGCCUGCUUCAAACACUAGUCUAAAUCCGGCGUUGCUCAAAGCAGAUCCUGAGAUCAGGUUUUUGCGGAUGUCGGGAACAUGCAACACUUUUUGCAGGGUUAUCUUGAGUCCCGACGUCAUCUUGAGCACAAUGGUUCCAGAUCCGAUGAUCUUGGAUGCGGUAGAAUUGCCCAUGUACAAUUUCCUAUCUCCGGAAAAGACUUCAUAGGAGGAGAACAUUGCUUUGUCAGCGCAGAUGUGCCUAGUUGCACCGGUGUCGAUCCACCAACCUACUGGGCUGCCGACCAUGUUGACCUCGUCUACGACGGCACAUAAGUCAAGUUCGGCUAAGUCGAGGGGCACAUGUUUCUCCUCCGUCACGUUGGCUUGAUGGUGACUAUUUUUCUUGUCAUUUUUUGGUUUGCGACAAUCUUUCGCCAUGUGUCCGGCUUUGCCGCAGUUGAAGCAAUCGCCUUUGAUCCUCUUUUGAUUCUUCGAGUCUGGCUUUUUGCUUUUAAACUUGCGUUUCUUCUUGUUGCUAGACUCGGCCAGAUUUGCUUUUGCCUCCAUAGAGGUUUUGUUCGUUUUGUUGUCGGAGAGUCUAUUGUCCUCUUCGAUUCGCAAACGAACAAUCAAGUCUUCAAGUCCCAUCUCCUUGCGUUUGUGCUUGAGAUAGUUCUUGAAGUCCUUCCAGAAGUGUCCAAAUUUAACUUCAGUGCACCACCCAAAAAGACAAAACAAAAACUACCUUCGGAAGACGCGGGAAUAUAAAUUAAUUAUUAAAUAAAACAGUCUUGCUAUCCACCAUCUUAAAGUCCAGAAAACGAUCGACUAUAAAUUUCUUCAAGCCGGCAUCUUCUGCUUUGUACUUCGUCUCCAAUGAGUCCCAUAACUCCUUGGACGUCUUGGUGCUAGAAUAAACAUUAUAGAGAGUGUUGUCUAGCCCAUUCAGAAUGUAGUUGCGACACAGAAAGUCGCUGUGAUGCCAUGCAUCAUAUGCGAUACGCACUUGCGGAUCAGUUUCGUCUUCCCCCACAGUUGGAGGAGACUCAUUCAGAAAACGAGCCAUAUUCAAAGUAGUAAGAUAAAAAAGCAUCUUUGAUUGCCAACGUUUAAAUUCAGAACCUGAGAAUUUUUCCGGCUUUUCGGCAGGUGCUGGAGCAUUUGGAACGUUGAUCGGAACAGUUGGAACAUUGUUGUUGUUGUUGGUGUUGCUUCCUGUCGCCAUCUUUCCACACUAAUUUUGCCUUACGAUUGUUAUUUGGGUAGUGUAGAAAAUAGGAUGACGAUAAAUGUAAGGAUGCAGAACCGAGGCGAGAAUAAAUUCUCUCUCCGUAAGGCAAAAUUACUUCCGCUCUGUGCUCGCGGAUCUACAGUAAUUGCCCCCAAGAUACAACGGUUUAGGGAUGAUAGACGAGUCCUUAGCACUAGGAGAUCGCUAUCCGGUCGAACGGCUCGAUACUCGGGACUUGAGUAUGAACACUAACUAGUAUGAUAGGAGAUGAUGUGAAUGGAAUGA